UGGGGAAUUUUGGACAAUGGGCGAAAGCCUGAUCCAGCAAUGCCGCGUGUGUGAAGAAGGCCUUCGGGUUGUAAAGCACUUUUGUCCGGAAAGAAAUCCUUGGCUCUAAUACAGUCGGGGGAUGACGGUACCGGAAGAAUAAGCACCGGCUAACUACGUGCCAGCAGCCGCGGUAAUACGUAGGGUGCAAGCGUUAAUCGGAAUUACUGGGCGUAAAGCGUGCGCAGGCGGUUUGCUAAGACCGAUGUGAAAUCCCCGGGCUCAACCUGGGAACUGCAUUGGUGACUGGCAGGCUAGAGUAUGGCAGAGGGGGGUAGAAUUCCACGUGUAGCAGUGAAAUGCGUAGAGAUGUGGAGGAAUACCGAUGGCGAAGGCAGCCCCCUGGGCCAAUACUGACGCUCAUGCACGAAAGCGUGGGGAGCAAACAGGAUUAGAUACCCUGGUAGUCCACGCCCUAAAACGAUGUCAACUAGUUGUUGGGGAUUCAUUUCCUUAGUAACGUAGCUAACGCGUGAAGUUGACCGCCUGGGGAGUACGGUCGCAAGAUUAAAACUUAAAGAAUUGACGGGGUCAUAGCUGUUUCCU
rnacentral:rRNA from 1 species